CGGCAGCACGGGGGCAACCCUGGUGGCGAGUGGCGAACGGGUGAGUAAUACAUCGGAACGUGUCCUGUAGUGGGGGAUAGCCCGGCGAAAGCCGGAUUAAUACCGCAUACGCUCUACGGAGGAAAGGGGGGGAUCUUAGGACCUCUCGCUACAGGGGCGGCCGAUGGCAGAUUAGCUAGUUGGUGGGGUAAAGGCCUACCAAGGCGACGAUCUGUAGCUGGUCUGAGAGGACGACCAGCCACACUGGGACUGAGACACGGCCCAGACUCCUACGGGAGGCAGCAGUGGGGAAUUUUGGACAAUGGGCGCAAGCCUGAUCCAGCAAUGCCGCGUGUGUGAAGAAGGCCUUCGGGUUGUAAAGCACUUUUGUCCGGAAAGAAAUCCUUUGCCCUAAUACGGCGGGGGGAUGACGGUACCGGAAGAAUAAGCACCGGCUAACUACGUGCCAGCAGCCGCGGUAAUACGUAGGGUGCAAGCGUUAAUCGGAAUUACUGGGCGUAAAGCGUGCGCAGGCGGUUCGCUAAGACAGAUGUGAAAUCCCCGGGCUUAACCUGGGAACUGCAUUUGUGACUGGCGGGCUAGAGUAUGGCAGAGGGGGGUAGAAUUCCACGUGUAGCAGUGAAAUGCGUAGAGAUGUGGAGGAAUACCGAUGGCGAAGGCAGCCCCCUGGGCCAAUACUGACGCUCAUGCACGAAAGCGUG
rnacentral:rRNA from 1 species